UACGAAGGGUGCAAACGUUGCUCGGAAUUAUUGGGCGUAAAGCGCACGUAGGCGGCGCUGCAAGUCCCAUGUGAAAGCCCACGGCUUAACCGUGGAAGUGCAUGGGAAACUGCAGUGCUUGAGUACUUAAGAGGAUCGCGGAAUUCCCGGUGUAGAGGUGAAAUUCGUAGAUAUCGGGAGGAACACCAGUGGCGAAGGCGGCGAUCUGGGAAGAUACUGACGCUGAGGUGCGAAAGCCAGGGGAGCGAACGGG
rnacentral:rRNA from 1 species